CAUGACCCUAGGUCAAGUGGGAUAACCCACUAUGUUUAAGCAUAUCAAUAAGUGGAGGAAAAAAACCUUACUAAGAUUCCCUUAGUAAUGGUCAGCAAAUCGAGAAUAGCUUAGCUUGAGAAUUGAAAGCCCUUGGCAUCCGAAUUGCAAUCUAGAGAAGCAUCCUCAAUGGUGGAUUGGGCCUAAAUCCCUUUGAAAUGGGUGUCAAAAAAGAUGAAAGCCUUGUCGUGCCUAGAUUCUAUCACACCAUGAGGUGCUGUUUGCGAGUUAGGUUGUUUGGGAAUAUAGUACCAAUUAGGCGGUAAAUUUCAUCGAAAGUUGAAUAUGGACGAGGGACUGAUAGUAAACAAGUACUCAAAGGGAAAAAAGAAAAAGACUUUGGAAAGAGAGUUAGAGAGUGCUUGAAAUUAUUAUAAGGAAAACGGAUAAGGACUGGUGGUAUGCCCCAGUUGGAUGUGGAGUAGUGAGAGCAAGUCCACUGAUCUAUUCGAGGCGUGGACUGACGCAUGUCAUGGUGAAGGCCCAAGCAUGGGCUUUUGAUAUGCCAACGAAGAUGUCAUCGCAAUGAUUAUGGAGUGUAGUACACAUCAUCUUAGCAUGCCUUGACACUGAUGUACUCUCAACAUUAGCCCAUGGGCUCCCCAUCUGGCCCUUGAAACAUGGACUAAGAAGUCUAACAUGUGUGCAAGUUAAUGGGCUAGAAAACUCAUAAGGCACAAAGAAGUUGAUGGUGAGAUCCCUCAUAGGUGCACCACUGAUCGAUCUUGAUCUUCUGAAAAUGGUUCAAAUGUAAGCAUACCUAUCGAGAUUCAAAAAGAUGGUGAACUAUGCUUGAAUGAGGUAAAGCUAAAGAAAACUCUAGUGGAGGCCACAGUGAAACUGAUGUGCCAAUUGUUCAUCCGACUUAGUAUAAGGGUGAAAGACUAAACAAACCAUCUCGUAGCUGGUUCUCUUUAAAUUUUUCCUUAGGAUAGUCAGAGUCCUUAGCGAGUUCUAUUGGAUAAAGCAAAUGAUUAGAGGCAUCAAGGGCACAAUGCUUUUUAACCUAUUUUCAAACUUUAAAUAGGUAGGAUGGCACGGCUGUUUCAUUGACCCAAACCAAAAAAUCAAGAGCUCUAAGUGGGCCAUUUUUGGUAAGUAAAACUGGCAAUAUAGGAUGAACUAAAAAUUGAGUUACAGUUCCCAACUACGUGCUAACCUAGAACCCACAAAAGGUGUUGGUUGAUUAAGAUAGCAAGAUAGUGGUCGUUAAAGUCAAAAUCCUCUAAAAAGUGUGUAACAACUCACCUAUCAAAUUAACUAGCACCAAAAAAAGAUGGCACUUAAGCACAUGACCUAUACAUAGUAGACGAUGCAAAGGCAAAGCCCUGAUGAGAAAGAGGCAUGGCGAUUACUAUAAAAUUUAAGGUGCAAGCUUGAGUAAAGCAACCAUUGGUGCAGAUCUUAGUGGUAGUAUUUGAUAUUCAAAUGAAAACUUUGAAGGCUAAAGGGAGAAAAGUUCCAUGUGAACGACACUAGCACAUGGUUUAGUCAUCCUAAAAGAUAAGGGAAACCCUUCCAACAAUACGUCUAGCACGAGCUUUGAAAGGGAAUCAGGUUAAAAUUCUAGAACUAGGACACAGUGACUAAUAGAAAUGUUAGUGAGUUAAGAGAUUUUAGUGGGGGCUUCAAAAAGAGUUAUUUUUUUUAUUUAAUAGCCUACCCACCUUGGAAAUGGCUCUUUAAAGGUAAGGUCCAAUGACUAGAAGAGCACCUUACAUCACAUGGUGUCUGGUGCAACCCUAGUGGCCCUUGAAAAUCUACAGGAUUGAGUGCCAUUCGAGUCUAGUUGUACUUAUAACCACAUCAAGUCUCUAAGGUGAAGAACCUUUGGCAGAUGGAACAAUGUAGGCAAAGAAAGUCGACAAAAUGGAUAUGUAACCUCGAGAAAUGGAUUGGCUCUAAGGGCUAGGCAUGAGGGUCCCAAUCUCGAACCCAUCGAUUGUCAAUGCAUUGCUAGAGCUGUUCCUGUAGCAAGAGAGGGUUGCUACGUGCCAAUCAAAGGAUGAACUGGGAAUAGUUCCCUCGAAGGCCUACCCUUAGCGACAAAGUAUCAACUUAAAACUAGUACAAACAAGGGGAAUAUGACUCUUUAAUUAAAAAAAGCAUUGUGAUGGUCCUUACAGAUGCUCACACAAUGUGAUUUCUACCCAAUGCUUUGAAUGUUAAAGUGAAGAAAUCCAACCAAACAUGAGAAAACAAUGGGAGUAAUUAUGACUCUCUUAAGGUAGCCAAAUGCCUCAUCAUCUAAUUAAUGACGUGCAGGAAUAGAUUAAUGAGAUUCCCACUAUCCUUGUCUACAAUCCAUCAAAACCAUAACCAAGGGAACAGGCUUGGCAGAAUUAGUGGGGAAAGAAAACCUUGUUGUCCUUCACUCUAGUCUAACUUUAUGAAAUGACUUGAGAGGUAUAGGAUAAGUGGGAUCCCUUGGGUGAAUUUGCAAUACCACUAUUUUUAACAUUAUUUUACUUAUUCUAUGAAUUGAAGGCAAGGCACAAACCCUUCAUUUGGACCCAAGGUUGGCCUUGAUCUAUUGAUCCGAAUGGAAGACAUUGCUAGGUGGGGAGUUUGGUUAGUGUGACACAUUUGUUAAAAGAUAAUGCAGGUGUCCUAAGACGAGCUUAAUGAGAAUAGAAAUCUUGUGUGGAAAAAAAGGGUAAAAGCUUAUUUGAUUCUAAUUUCUGGUACAAAUAUAAACCAUGAAAGCACGGCCUAUUGAUCAUUAGACCUUUAAAAUUUGAAGUUAGAGGUGUUACAAAAAUUACCAUAGGGAUAACUGGCUUGUGGUAGCAAAGUGUUCAUAGUGACAUUCUUUUUGAUCCUUUGAUGUUGGCUCUUCCUCUCAUUGUGAAGCAAAAUUCACCAAGUGUUGGAUUGUUCACCCACCAAUAAAGAACGUGAGCUAGAUUUAGACCAUCAUGAGAUAGGUUAGUUUUACCCUACUGAUGGUAGUGUCACAAUAAUAAUUCAACCUCGUACGAGAGGAACCAUUAAUUCACACAAUUGGUCAUUGCAUUUGGUUAAAAAGCCAGUGGCACCAAACUACCAUACAUUAGAUUAUGAUUGAAUGGCUCUAAGUUAGAAUCUAGGCUAGAAGUGACGCACAUGCCCAUUGCCUGAUGUUGACCCAUAGUAUGGGCCAAUAGCCCUUAAGGGCACAUAAGUGUAGCCUUGAGGCAGACGAGCUGUAUGGGCCUCUUUGGAGCUCAAUUCCCACUAUGCCGCAUGUAAAAUCCUUUGUAGAUAACUUAAAUAUGUAGCAGGGUAUUGUAAGUGGUAGAGUGGCCUUGCUACCAUGAUCUAUCGAGAUUCAACCCUUUGUCGCUUUGAUUCAU
rnacentral:rRNA from 1 species